AGGAGCCGAAGAAGGACGGGACUAACACCGAUAUGCUUUGGGGAGCUGUACGUAAGCGUUGAUCCAGAGAUUUCCGAAUGGGGGAACCCACUAUCUUUAGUCGGAUAGUAUCCUUACGUGAAUACAUAGCGUGAGGAAGGCAGACCCAGGGAACUGAAACAUCUAAGUACCUGGAGGAAGAGAAAGAAAAAUCGAUUUCCUGAGUAGCGGCGAGCGAAACGGAAAGAGCCCAAACCAAGAAGCUUGCUUCUUGGGGUUGUAGGACACUCUAUACGGAGUUACAAAAGAAAGUUAUAAAUGAAGCGGUCUGGAAAGGCCCGCCAAAGACGGUAACAGCCCGGUAGUUGAAAUGGCUUUCCCUCCAGAGUGGAUCCUGAG
rnacentral:rRNA from 1 species